rnacentral:lncRNA from 1 species
UGGGAUUUGAGAUAUUGACCUGGAAACUUAAUCAUAAAUCAAAAUAUAAGCAUAUUUAUUUAUAAGAAUAUAGCAAUUAACAAUUAAUCUUGCUUAAUUUUAUUUAAAUCUAAUUUAAUCCUAACUUAGUCUAUGUUACAAUAUUCAUUUUGGUGCAGUAUAAUGUUUUGAGAGAGAGAGAGUAAGUUCCAUGCCUUCCACAUGCCUGAGAGAGAGAGUUUGUUGGUGUUACAUCAUAUCAAUAAUCCAGCCUUGACAGUUAUCCAGACACCAACACUAAAUGUUCAAAUGCUCACAAAUGUCCUUGUGCACACUAUAGAGUUCUAUAAGUUGUCCAGUUCCACUUGUGUUUGUUCACAUUAUACCAGAGGUGGGCAAACUUUUCUGACUGUGGGCCACAUGAACUUCUGUAAGUCUCUAGCGGGCUGCACAUAAAAA